UGCCCCGUGGCUGAGUUGGUUACAGCGUCCGACUGUUAUCUAAGUCGCAAUCGGAAGGUCGUGAGUUCGAGCCUCACCGGGGCAG